rnacentral:rRNA from 1 species
CUAGUAGGUGGGGUAACGGCUCACCUAGGCGACGAUCCCUAGCUGGUCUGAGAGGAUGACCAGCCACACUGGAACUGAGACACGGUCCAGACUCCUACGGGAGGCAGCAGUGGGGAAUAUUGCACAAUGGGCGCAAGCCUGAUGCAGCCAUGCCGCGUGUAUGAAGAAGGCCUUCGGGUUGUAAAGUACUUUCAGCGGGGAGGAAGGGAGUAAAGUUAAUACCUUUGCUCAUUGACGUUACCCGCAGAAGAAGCACCGGCUAACUCCGUGCCAGCAGCCGCGGUAAUACGGAGGGUGCAAGCGUUAAUCGGAAUUACUGGGCGUAAAGCGCACGCAGGCGGUUUGUUAAGUCAGAUGUGAAAUCCCCGGGCUCAACCUGGGAACUGCAUCUGAUACUGGCAAGCUUGAGUCUCGUAGAGGGGGGUAGAAUUCCAGGUGUAGCGGUGAAAUGCGUAGAGAUCUGGAGGAAUACCGGUGGCGAAGGCGGCCCCCUGGACGAAGACUGACGCUCAGGUGCGAAAGCGUGGGGAGCAAACAGGAUU